CGACCGGCGCACGGGUGAGUAACACGUAUGGAACCUGCCCGCAGCAGGGGGAUAAGCGGAAGAAAUUCCGUCUAAUACCGCGUAACAACGUUGGGAGGCAUCUCCCGAUGUUUAAAGAUUUAUCGGCUGCGGAUGGCCAUGCGGCGCAUUAGCUAGUCGGCGGGGUAACGGCCCACCGAGGCGACGAUGCGUAGGGGUUCUGAGAGGAAGGUCCCCCACACUGGUACUGAGACACGGCCCAGACUCCUACGGAAGGCAGCAG
rnacentral:rRNA from 1 species